UGAGGAAUAUUGGUCAAUGGACGAAAGUCUGAACCAGCCAAGUAGCGUGCAGGAUGACGGCCCUCUGGGUUGUAAACUGCUUUUAGUUGGGAAUAAAAAAGAGGACGUGUCCUCUCUUGUAUGUACCUUCAGAAAAAGGACCGGCUAAUUCCGUGCCAGCAGCCGCGGUAAUACGGAAGGUCCAGGCGUUAUCCGGAUUUAUUGGGUUUAAAGGGAGCGUAGGCGGAUUAUUAAGUCAGUGGUGAAAGACGGUGGCUCAACCAUCGUUAGCCAUUGAAACUGGUAGUCUUGAGUGCAGACAGGGAUGCUGGAACUCGUGGUGUAGCGGUGAAAUGCUUAGAUAUCACGAUGAACUCCGAUCGCGAAGGCAGGUGUCCGGGCUGCAACUGACGCUGAGGCUCGAAAGUGUGGGUAUCAAACAGGAUUAGAUACCCUGGUAGUCCACACAGUAAACGAUGUAUACUCGCGGUUUGCGAUAUAUUGUAAGCCGCCNAGCGAAAGCAUUAAGUAUACCACCUGGGGAGUACGCCGGCNACGGU
rnacentral:rRNA from 1 species